GCCAACCUCUUACACAUGAAAAACUAUCCGAGAAUUUUGUUAGCAUUCUGUUUAUAAAUUACACAACCCUAGAAAGUGUGAAAAAUGGCUAAUAUUUCCUUCUAAUUUUGCUUUUCUUAUAAUAUUUAUUCAAACUCCAAAGAAUCUCUCUCUGAACACAUGGCUAUGAUACUCCUCAACUACUCCUGUUCAUGAUUAGAGAUGUACACAUUGGUAUCCACUAAGGGACAUGUUCAAGUGGUUAAGGACAAACAACUGACAAGCAAAUCUGUGAUAUUGAGCAGAAUAUUUGCUAUAAUGAUAUUUCUGCUCCAGUAACUCAAUACUGAAAUGUAAUGGAAAAUAGGUGAGUUUCAAAACAUUGAUGUUCAGGUGACAAAAGCAAAGUUUGAAAGGAAUAGUAGUCAUUUCCUUUGAUUUCUAGAUAGAAGCAAAUAGGAAAUAAUACUGACCAAAGUAAAAAAAAAAUUGUUUCAGUGUUAUCUGUGUGCUUUGUGCUUUCUAAGACACAUAAUAAACAAUGCCUUUUUUAAAAAUUGGAAAGACUUAGCAACUUUAAGGCCAUUCUAUUGUAAAACAAUGCUUCAAUAAUGUACACUAGCAUGGAAAAACACAGAGCCGUAGGUAUAAUGAAAAACAGAUGUAAAGCCAUAUAUGUGUGUGUAUACAUAUCAUGUACAUAUUUAGAAAUGUACAAUUGUAUAUGUAUAUAUACACACAUGUACAUCUCUGCAUAUGUAUGUGCAUGUGAUAUACAAGUAUCUUGGACAGGAUAAGAAUGUCAGCUAUAACGAGAGUGUAAGGAAUGAAUAUCUCAAGAGAGUUAAAAGAAUAUGAUCGUCUGAACUCUCAUCUUACAAUAAGCAUAUUACCUACAUCACCUUUGUAAUAUCACCCCCAUUUGGUCCUCUAAACUAGUCACUGUGAAGGCCCAGUGAGAUAAACAUGAAUUUGCAAGCUGCUCAGUCUCACUGGAAAGUUCAACAUCAGUAGUAAUGUAGACAGGCUAUACUUCCCCAACAAGGGUGGUGGCUGUUGGUCUUUAAUCUGUAGUGAUAGCGUAUGAACCAGAUAUUGUGAUACUGAAGCAAUAUCGGUGGUAGAGAAGGUAGUACUUGGCAUGAAAUACCCAAACCAUAAAGGGAAUUAAAUUACAUCAAAAGCUUGACAUGGAAUAUCAAUUUUAUGACAUCCCGUUUUGAAGGCUGUCUCUAUGCAUUUCAAGAGCAAGAGAUCCCUACAAAGUAUUUAGUACAUGAAAGGCAGAAAACAUUGAUAGACAACAAAUGUAGGCUGUGCAAAAUGAAAUCUGAAGAUAUCAACCACCCUGUUGCUGACUUACAGAAUGUCUCAUAGAUAUUAUCUUCUCAAGAGGCAUUAUGUGGUCACCAGAAUAGAAUGAGAAGAAACAAAAAUCACCACUUCUGAAGUGUACUUGAAUUAUUUAAUUUCAAAAUUUCCUGAUAAAAUUUGAUGAAAGUUUUCCCAGAACUAGUUUUAAAUAAGGAAAUGUGUUUAUUACUGUGUGUGUAUAUAUAUAUAUAUAUAUAUAUAUAGUGAUCACGUGUGUGUGUGUGUUUUUUACAUUUGCAGAUACUCAUGUUUGGAACAGCUGAAGAGCAAAUUGUCUCAAUUUAGAGUUACUUCCCUUCCCAGUUAAGACACUAUUUGGUAACCUUUUGUUGAGUCACUGGAAUUUUCAGAUUGUACGUAUCCUAUUAUUAAAGGACUAGCUAUUUCUAACAUGACUAGGGUUAUUUCAAGAAAUAAUCCUUUAGAGAUUAAUUUUUAUAUUCACUAUUUCCUGGAUCUGGUACAGGAAGGAAAAUAUUUUUACCUUUGAUCUGUUGCCUUUUCUUUUAGUAAUCGUUACUAUGUUCCACAAAUGGACAUUAAAACGAUGUUGAUUACAAAUUUUUGUCAGCAAUUUUAGUAUUGGGUCUAUUUAUUGUAAUUGUAAUAAUGAAUUAUAAGAUUGUUUUAAGUAACAUUUUCAAUGGCUUGUUGAGGUAUUCACAGUAUCAUCUUAGGGCAAGGGCACACAGAGCAGUUAACCAGUGGCCUCACAAGUGUAGGGGACCAAUCUACGUAUGUUGUGGCUUAUCCUUUACUUAUUUCAGUCAUUAGGCUGUGGCCUUGCUGGAGCACUACCUUGUAGAGUUUUUAGCUAAACAAAUCAAUUUCAGUAUUUUUUUAAAGCUUGGUCUCUGCCUAACCACUAAGUUAUGGGAAUGUAAGCAAACACUGCUUGUCAAGCAGUGGUGGUGGACAAACACAAACUGAAAGACACACACACAGGGUGGUCCGAAAGUCUUGUCACCACCUGUAAAUAUUGUUUCAAUUUUUUAUUAUCAAGGAGAGGGCUUCACAAGAGCGAUACCAGAAUAUCCAACAGUUGAAGGACGCUGUUUCGGCAGCCUUUGCACCAAUCAACAAAGCACAGCUUCAUAGAAUAUCACACAGGACAUGGUGCCACAUUGUUUUGUGCCACAAAAAUGAUGGUGUUCAUACAAACCUUCUCGAUGUAUGACAGUGUCAGUGUCAAAACCAGUACAUGUGUUUGAUAUUAUAUUAGUCCUCUAUUGUUCUUAUUACUUUUCGGUCGGGAGUGACAAGACUUUCAGACCACCCUAUAUAUAUAUAUAUAUAUAUAUAUAUAUAUAUAUAUAUAUAUCAUCAUCAUCAUUUUAUCUGUCUUUAUGUUCUGAAUUCAAAUUCUGCUGAGGUCAACUUUGCCUUUCAUCCUUUUGAGGCUGAUAAAUACCACUUGAAUACUGGGGCUGAUGUAACUGACUUAGCCCCUUCCCUGAGGCCUUGUGCCAAAACUCGAAACCAAUAUUAAUAGAUACUGAGUAGAACAGAACAAACUAUCAGUGGUCAAGGUCAACCAGUUCAGUUAGUGAAUUACUACUAUCAUGUGUAGUCAUGGUAUGUGCAGCUAAGAUAUUUUAGCUUGUGAAAGACCAAAGUCCAAGCCAAAUGUUCAUGCUUUAUUACUUGAUAGGGACGUCUGGCAUGGAAGAGAUGCAUUGGUCUGAGUGAGUCAGUCAUCUGAUCUGGGUGGAUGGAUUUCCAUGCUUGGAUCAGUCCGAUGGAAUUUCCUUGCAGCAGAUUUUCUACAGUCAAAUGCCCUUCCUGUCACCAGUCCUACACUUGUUCUAAAGCAUGAUAUUGUUUUCCCAUGACUGGACUUGUUUUCAUAGAAAACUGGAAACAAAUGGCACCACUUGCAUUGUAUGACAGUAACACUCACUAGUAUUAAGUGACGUCUAGACAAGUAGGCACACACAGACACACAUAUGUGUAUAUAUAUAUAUAAUAUAUAUAUAUAUAUAAUUCUUUUGUCUUUUAAAAUUUCUCUGUCAUUUGAACUCUUUGCAAAUUAGACCUACUUAUAUAAAUAUAUAUAUUUAUACAUAUAAAUUCAACGGGCAGCAUGUGCAGCAUCAGUGCCAUGCAAGCAUAAAAAAACACCCAAUAGUGCAAUUUGGAAGACUGCAGCAGUCCGACUUGCCAGAAAAGAAUGCUGUAAUGCUGAACAGGAAUACAAAUUGCACAAAUCAGAAGGCAACAGGAAAAAGCGCAAUAGAUCAGCCAACCACCUCAAGCAGGUGACAAAAAAGGCAGUGCUUGAAUUUGAACAACGCAUUGCAACUAACCCUGACAGCAAAGUGUUCUGGAAGUAUGUGCACUCAAAGCAAAGACCCCACUCUCCAGUUGGUCCCCUUCGCAAUCCCCACACAGGACAGAUUACUGGCAAUCCCGAAGAAUGUGCAGAAAUCAUUGCUGGAUGCUAUGCCGGCAUCUUUACUGUCGAAGACCAAAAUGUUCCAUCUUCACCACCACUGACAUCGGACUUUAUAUCUACUAGGCAAUUUACACCAGCAAUGCUACAACGCCACCUUAAGAAUAAACGCAACUAUGCCUCUCCUGGUCUCGAUGGUGUUACAUACCUACUUCUCAAACGUGGUGGGUACUUUCUUCUAAGCCAACUUUCUCUAUUCUUCCAAUUCUGUCUUGACAAUGGUGUUACUCCAGAACAGUGGAAAACUGCCAGUGUUAUCCCUCUGUUCAAAAAAGGCGACCGCACAUCGCCUGUCAACUAUCGCCCCGUUAGUCUUACUAGCUGUAUCGCCAAACUGAUGGAAUCCUGUAUCAGAGAAACCCUCUGGAACUUCUGGAAGUCUCACAGCCUCAUCCAGCUGUCACAAUUUGGAUUUAUUCCUAACUCCAGCUGCUAUAAUCAACUCAUCGAGUUUCUUGAGGACGUUACCCAAAUCACUGAUCGCGGAUCCUGGGUGGAUGUUGUUUACCUGGACUUUGCUAAGGCUUUUAACUCUGUGCCACACAAAAGACUUAUGGUGAAGCUCUCUGCAUUGGGUGUAAGAGACGAACUCUAUAACUGGUUGAAGUCCUUUAUUUUCGGCCGAAAAGAGGUUGUCACAGUUCAAGGACAGCACCCUUCACCCUAUGAGAUGACAUCUGGUGUACCACAGGGAUCUGUUCUUGGCCCCCUUUUAUUUGUUGCAUAUGUUAAUGACAUAGAUGCUAACUUAAAGAAUGCCAUAGUGCUGAAAUAUGUACAUCAAGCUGUACCUCGAAAUAAAGAGGUCAGACUCUGUACACUAUAGAUCUCUAUUGCAAGCAGACCUGGACACAAUGCAGCAGUGGAUCAUGGACUGGCAACUCAAGCUGGCUGUGGACAAAUGUACCACUAUGCAUUUUGGGAGGAGAAACCCCGCGUCCACCUACUCCCUCCACAACACUAGUCUCAAAAAGUCUUCAAUUGAACGUGACCUGGGUGUUAUUGUCGACAGUGAUUUGCGUUGGACAAAACACAUCGCUAAAAUUGUCAAGAAGGCUGAGGGUGUCUUAACAUCACUCACCAAAUCCUUUGUGAGCCGCUCUCCGACUAUCUAUCUGUGGCUUUAUAUAGCUAUGGUAAGACCUCACCUGGAAUUUGCAUCACCGGUCUGGAACCCCUAUCUUGCCCAGGAUAUCAAUCGUCUGGAAGCCGUUCAGCGACGUGCAACCAAAAGAAUACCCUCCAUCAGGCAUUUGCCAUAUUCUGAACGCCUUACUUCCCUAGGCAUGGACACAUUGAAACUCCGACAUGUGGCAGCUGACUUGGCAGACACCCAUAAAAUUAUCAACCAUCGUACAAACAAUAACUCUGAGCACCUUUUCAAACUCCACCCAUCUAACACCCGUGGACAUAUUUACAAAGUCAGAAAACAGCACAGCUCCCAUGACUUUAGGAAACAUUUUUUCACGCUGAGAGUUGCUGAAGCAUGGAACAAACUGCUGGCAUCAGAUGUUAGUUGUCGGAGCACUGCAUCCUUCAAAACUUCCAUGCUUCCUGAGAUUCGCCAACACUACACCUGAUUUUCUCCCCUCCAUACACACACAAGCAUUAUCUGACUCAUGCAUUGUUCACUUUCCAGACAUUUGUACAUUGCUGCAUAUGCUUUAUAUGCACUGUCUGACAAGUUGUGGUGCACCUAAGCACUGUAUACAAUAAUUUCAUUAUAUUAUAUUAUAUCAUUAACAUUCAUCUCAAAAUUUCCACCUUUUCCUUUCUCUCAUUUUGCAUGUAUACAUAUGUACAUAUUUUGUAUUUGAUGUACUUGGUAUCUAUAAUACAUUAAAAAUUAACUUCAUUCUUGUUUGCUUGCAGUGUUAUACAGCCAAACUGGUGCAUAAUGAGAAAAUGCCAUGAAUACUACAAAUGGAAUAAAACAAGUUUCUCGUAAAUCAGACAAGUGGUUCUUGAGAUAUUAGGGGUUUUGGGAUAUAAAUACUCAAAACAAUGCAUAAUGGGAAAAUACUAUGAUAAUAACUUAACCCUGAAAAGGAAGAAACUCUAACUUUCAAUUAGGCACAUUAGGGACUAAGUUGCCAAUGAAAAAAUAUGAGCUACUUUUCACAGUAAAUGUUUCUAUCUUCACUUUGUUAAACACAAUAUUUUAAUCAUUUGUAAAAUAUUUUUAACUGAAUGUGAUUUCCAAAAUGUAAGUUGUUUGUAC
rnacentral:lncRNA from 1 species